rnacentral:lncRNA from 1 species
GGAAGGCUCGUCCGCCCUAUUUCCUUUUCUUCGUUGAGAUGUGGUCUGGUGGGAUCGGAUGGCCGUCCGAAGGUCGUUUGAUUCAUUAGUUAUAUAUUAUGUAUAUGAGUAUGGACAUACAGGAAUUCUCUAGUCAGUUCAGUUAAGAGUCUCUACCUCUAGUCUACACUUACAUUAGAAACACACUACCCACUAUUUGGAAGUCUCUACCUCUAGUUCAGCACUUACACACUACCCACUAUUUGGAAGUCUCUACCCACUAUUUGGGAUGCAUCUUCAGGACACGGCCUUCUCCGUCGUCUAGUUGGUAACCAGAAUCUCCUGUAGGGAGAGCGGACAUUGUGUGUAUAGAUCUAUACGGGAUUGACAACCCCGCACCCAGACUGCUAGCUACAGUCCCGGCCUACCAAGCCAACGGGUGACAAAUGUCAUAUUUUAGACGCUUGUAGGGCGUCUGGUACUCUAGUCAGUAUGGUUACGAGUAUCCCGGGUUACCUUAUAAUUCAUUGGCCUUAAGGUAACGGUAUUUCACCGGCAAUUUACACUGUAUGCUGGUAAUUCAUUUUCAGAGUCACACUGUUUUGACCUUACAAGACGUAUCUUUCAUUUGAUACUGUCUGGGGUCUGUUUUCUCUGUUUUGACCUUACAAGACGUAUCUUUCAUUUGAUACUGUCUGGGGUCUGUUUUUCACUGUUUUAGACCUUACCAGCUGUACCUUUCAUUUGGUACCUUCUGGGGUCUGAGUCUCUAUUUGUUAGACUGAACCAGGCGUGUCGUUAGUUCGAUACUCUCCUGGAGUCUAUGAUUCCUUUGCCUUAGUCAGCAGUCCUCACUGCUGAGGCAUAUGUUAUUUCCCUGUUGUCUCUUGCUUUCUUUAAUAAUCAAAUUCAGUAUUUUGAUAAUGAUAGCAAUUAAGGGAAAACCACUUUUUACCACAUAACACUGACCAGUCUUGGUAGAAGGCUGCUUUUAUUAAAGAAAAUAUAGGAUUUUCUGGAAAGAACUCUAAUACACUGUAAACACUUAAACUAUUACUUUAUAAAGCUAUUUGAAUGAAAUGUCACUAAAUACUUAUGAACUCACCAGCAUUUGUAAAAAUGCUGAUACUCGCUUUUCAAAUAACUUGUAUUCUCAGGUUAGCAUUAGACAGGUACAUCCCCGGAGCUGUUGAUGAAGAUAGCUUAGUACCACGCUGUAUUUAUUCUAUUACUUGUAUUACUUUGAUGUAUUGUAAAGUAACCAUGUAAAAUUAUUACUAUUAAUGCAAUGUUUUGUUGUACUUUGAUUACUAUAAUGCAUGUGUUGUGAUACUUGACAUGACGUCAUCCACCCCAGAACGUUUCCGCCGUUCCGGUUUUGGGGUGUGACACAUUGGUAUCAGAGCAUUGUUUAUAGUGAGCUAAGUAUAUCAAUUCAUAAAAGAUAUACAACCUAUAAACACAAAGGGAUAAAACACUCUGACCAAGAAUUAUACUUUAAAAUAUAACCAUAUUUUACCAAAGUAUAAUAACAUCCAGAAUCUAAACACUCGAACAAAAGUAUCACAAGAAGAACAAGAAUAAAAGUCUUCGGAUGUUGAGCAUUACAGUCAAACCUGGGCAGUUAUGUAAUCGUAAGCUGGGAUAAAUGUAACCUGAUCAACUACAUUUAUCCGAGAUGCGAUGAACGUGUGCUUGGGAGUGAUAGUGGUGUACAACAGGUCUGAAACUUACCAACUAGGAAUGCUAGAGCCAAACAUAAAGUUAAAAUACUAUAGGAGUAUUUUAGAACACUAAAAGAUCCACACUAAUCCCAGAAUGAAACUCAGAAGAUAAGAAUCAAACAAGAAUUAAAAUACCAUAGGGGUAUUUUAGAAUCCAUAAACAACCUUGCGUGAAUAACUAAAAAGAUCCUUAUUGAUAUACCUACAACUACAGAGGGUAUACUCCCAAGGUUAUAUAUAAUAAGGAUCCCAUAGGCUAAGAAUGUGUGGUUUCGCUCUAUUUCCUUUUCCUCGUUGGGAUGUGGUUCUAGAGUAGUAUCACAUAUUCGAAGGCCUAUCGGAUCUAAGUUAUAUAUGAUUUGUAUACCCUGUGUAAUCGUAGCAGGACUCGAUAUGGAUCAUACAGUGAAAUGUUAAUAAUCUCUUAGGAUUCUUUAGACAUUUCCAUUCUCGCGCGAACCCUGUAGACAACCCUAUCCACUUCAGUGCUUGACAGAAGAGUUGAUUCCGACCCCGAGGAGGUUCAUUGAGAAGAUUUCCUGUUCAGAAAUAAAUGAACUGGGUCGAGGCUAUUGAAUGCACCAAGUGCCCAUAUUCUUUUAGGGACAUUGGUGAGAAAUUUGCCUAAACUUCCGAGAUUCCCAGUUGCCCUUUAUGAGGUGAUGACACCCAUUUUCGGAUUCGGAAGUGAGGUCAAGUAGGAAUUCAAUAUGUCCAUACGAGGAAAGAACCCUAGGUAAACUAAUUGAAGGAAACCAAUGCCGAUUCCAGUCAAAGAUACGAGGCAGACCGAGGGAGCCAGUACAUGGAACCCGGGAAUUGUCUUUUCCUCGUGUUCGUCACGCUAAUACACCCAUAAAAUAAUAUAAUUUAAUGAGUUAGUGGUUACACUAGUCACACUAUGUGUUAGGUAAAAUCGUCGUUUCCCGUUGCCAGAUACACGAUUAGGGCGGAUCCCCGCAUCUCUAUUGAGAGAAUUUAGUCAUUUGCCCUUGUGAGCCUCUGUUUCUGCAGUUUCGUUCCGAACUGUUCUCAAAUCUCUCCAGGCUGGAGAGUGAAACCUUUCCUAGUAUAAAGGUAACUUAGUAGGAACGACUCGCAUCUUAUGGCCUUUUUCCGAUACUCAUACACCCACUUCGAUUACCAGGACUACAUCAUAGGGAUGUAGGUCGACACUCAGACGACCAGUACCCAAGGCACGGGAAAAAUUUAUGCCUAAUACGUUCAGGACAGAAAUGUCCAGGGUUAACCAUCGUCUCUCAUUACCUUGUAUUCCUUUCCGUGUAGGAAAACCAUGCCACCGAAAAAGCGUAACCAAUCCACAAGCAAGAAACCUGCUCUCUUAUUCGAUGAAGCUACAUUCCAAGCUGCAGUCUCAACAGCCGUAGCAGCUGUCAUGGCUCACCUGAAUGCUAACACCGCUAAUGUUAGCAAGGGCCCUGUCGAGAUUUCCAAUCCUGGCGAUGGACAACAGCAACCAACACUUUCAUACCCAGUCACCCAAGAACCUCAACCGAACCCACUAAAGAGAAAGCUCAAGAUCGAGGAGGGAAGUACCUCGGCCCAAGGACCUUCCGAAGGGCAACGAGCUGAGACGGCCAAUGCUCCUGUAAAUCAUUCCCUCCCGACUCCAAGAAGACCGUACCUAGGAGACCUUCCCCACUGCAGCAAGUGCAGCUACCAUCAUCAUGGUGCCUGCCGGGAACUCUAUUGUGCUAGGUGCAACAUGAAGGGGCAUACUGCUCGUGUAUGUAGAACUCCGGUGGAGCGUAUUGCAUCGAUCACUAAUGCGGCGACCAAUCCCGUUUGUCACCUAUGUGGUGAAAUGGGACAUUUCAAGAAGGAUUGCCCAGAUGAAGGAAACAACAAAGACACAGGAGGAGCCUAACUCUACUGCUUAGAGAGAAGCAUCAAGGAACUCGUUAGGUUUUGGUACGUCUCUCGAUCUUGGGUAAUUAACUAAAAACAAUAAAAGACUAAUUCAAAUGUAAAUUCUUUCCAGUAGGGCGAAAGUCGCAGCACUGUUAUAAAAUUUAAAAAUUCAUCAGGUAAAACUAUAAUGGCUAAACAUAUACGUUACGGCCAUGUAUAUUUAAGAUGGAAAGACCUAGAAUGAGCGAAUGCAACCUCAUUUCCUGUUCCUCGUUUGGUUGUGGAUUUAGGGCGGGGUCGCUCAGUCAACAGUCCUCCCCACCUUAAAUAUAUAUAUCUAGUAUAUGUGAGGCGAUUAUAGAAAUGCCUUGUGAGAAUCCACUCAUGAAAAGGUACUCUAUUCGGAAACACUUAGGACCCUCUAUAGUUCCGCGUCGACUCUAUCGGUCCAAGUAUCCGCGGUAGUGAUACACAGGACGAAACCCGAGACGCCUAGAACUUGUGUGCCCGUUCGGUGCAUGACUCUAUCAAUCUUCAUUAUACAUCAUGUCGGAGUGUGCCAACUUCGACGACUCUAUUAAUCAUGGUUCGACUACGUAUAGCCACGUGUACAUUCUUAGUGCUGUGUAAAAAGAACUUUCCCCGUAGCCAUGCCAGCAAAUAAAGGUUCUGCCGAACCUAAACCUAACACAAAUAAAUCAAACCUAAUGCGAUCCGUCAAUCGUCCCUCUUAUCUCAAACCUUCCGAAGUAUCCAAGAGAGGGUACCCCGCACCGUUGACCGACCCCUCGUAGUCAGAUGGACACCGAAGUGAACGAAACUGCAGAUACUCCAGAAGACAGUAACCAUCCGAAGCAUACUCCGUAGAUUCCCCCGGGAGACACUUCGCACCUCGCACAUCCGGUUUGUGAGCCCAGAGAAACGAACUCAUGAGACUAACCACUAUAACUAGGCAUAUGCAUAAAAGUGGCAUAUAAUUGAGAUUAAAAAGAUUUAAGGUGUGCGUUUCCUCCCUACUCCCUAUUCCUCGUUGGGUUGUGGGUUUGGGGUGGAGUCACACAGCUGAACAUCCUGCCGACCUCAAUUGUAUACUGCUUGCAUACACCAAGUACUGCUGGUUAAGCCAAGCAUGAGCUCUACCACGAACCUCUUCGCAAAACACUUUCACCCUAUUCCAUAACAUAGGAGCCGGAGUCAAGAGAAUCACUGCGGGUUAAGCUAGUAAAGUUCCGAGUGAUGAGACCCUAUACUCACUAGAAUUGACCUAGACCGAGGAAACUCAGAACCUUCGGAAGAGUAGUUGCAGUAGAUGCUCUUACUACUCAGGCACCUUGCCCACCCUGUUAUAGACAAGUAGUGCCUAUCAUCCUCCACCCUCUCGCAUGGAGGAAGUCACCAUCGUCCCGUAGACGAUAGACUUCAUUCUCGAAGCGAACACUAGAAUACCGAGAACCACAGGAUAACCUCCGCAGCCAAGAAUACUCGAUCAAAGUGUGAAAGUAGUUGCGCUAAGCCUCAUGUCCCGGAUCCCAAAGAGAUUAUAGACUUGACACUAGCCUUGGUAUUAGUCGAGGGAUUAUGCAGGAGCAUGCGCUUUCCGCACUAGAUCAAACCAAAGUCUUAGAGAUUCAUUGGACUAUUAGGUGUUCCACGAAUACCAUCUCACGCAGAGAUAGUAGAACCACCUCCUGAGAUAGUCCAACGCUCGUCUAAUGAAACCCUAUCUCCCCGACCUGCAGGGUUUCCGUAUCUCAAGAUCCCUUAGUGCAGAUUCAUUUUGCACAAGCUUGAGAUAGACACUCUAUAGCAAACGAAUAACCAUAGUCACGCAACCCACUCGACGAUCUAGAAAGUCUCUAUCAGCCAGUUGACAGGAAACGCGAGACCAAAGACCACCCGAGCUUCCUAAAAACCAACCUGAAGGACUACACACACGGUACGAGAGAGAACGUUAGGAACUUCGGAAUGGCGAUCACGCCAGUGAUGAUCUUGCCAUAGAAGUACACUAUGUUCUGAGUACUGAAAAGCUCUAUCCUUCCAAGAGCUUAGGACCAUCUGAGAAUCCUCAUGGAGAUUUGGUCCAACCCUAGUCAGGCCGCUACUACCUUCGGAUACCCCGCAAGACUCACACUCGAUCAAUCCACUUCUUAGACGUGAUGUGCAAUUGCCUGACAACACUCUUCGUGCCUCACUCAUCUUGAUAGAAUCCAUUGAGAACCCUAACCUUCCAGAUACACCAGUUGGAACCCACUAGCUACACUAGACGGAAUCCGCAUCCCGUACGUGUAGGUCUGUUGGAAUGACAAACACAGACUAGAGUUCGCUUGGGAAUGCGAGGACAACCGUAUAGGAAGUACUCUCUUACCUCUACUUGGCCAUUCAUACCUACUUCCUUGCCUAGACCUGAAUUUCGGGACGAAAUUCCCUCUAACGGGGGGAUGAUGUGACAACCCAAGUUGUUCCGUUACAUUUCCCUGUUACCGUUAACGGAAUAUUCCAGUUUAUAAAAGUUCGGUUAAUUAGAGGUCGUCAAUUAAAUAAACAUUUCAUUGUUUAUAUUUUAUGUCGUUAAGUGCUGAUAAGAGAAACAAAAACACAUAACACACAUUUCUAUUUAAUUGGAAAAAGUUAGUUUUUAUUAUUACGAUACUAAAUCGGAUGCGACCAAAAGCCCCGUUAAAUGACAGUAUCGGGUAGAAUAUCACUGAGCUCCAAAUCCCACCCAUAUAUAAGGAGGAGUAAACUCCAUUGGAGCCUUUUCCACUCUCUCUCUCUUUCUAUACUCUCUCUCUAGACCCGUUUUCGCCCCAAAUCCGCAACCAAACGCUUCCAAAUCGUAAGUCCGCUUACCCUAGCUGAUUCUAAACAUAUUGAUUCAUGUGUAUAGCUUAAAAUUCGGACUUAGAAGCUGUUAGAAUGGAGUUUACGGCCUAAGCUCCUCCUUAGGCCGUAAACCCCAAAAUAAAGGCCAAAAUGACCCCAAAAUGUCCCUAAAGGCUUGGAAUUAAAUUGAGGGUUUAGCCUAGGAGUGUUUAAACAUUAAAACACAUGGAUUUAGAGCAUAAAAGAAAGUUUACGGCCCAAGCAUAUGCCAAGGCCGUAAACACCUCUUAAACUUGUAUAAGUGCUGCAAAAACACUCCUAAAACACCCUUGGACUUCAUACAUAAAUUAGGGGCUUAUCCUCUUGGGUUUAGAUCAUUUAAACAUAAAGAUUUGGGGGAUUAAAGGGAGUUUACGGCCCAGGCAUGUACCAAGGCCGUAAACACCCCUAAACAUGCCCAAAUGAUAGUUUUAAUUCUCCCAAAUGGCCUCACACUUUAUUAUAAAUUACUAGCAAGGUAUUAGGGGCUUGAAACUUCAAUAAACUCAAGGAAUGAGAGUUUACGGCCGUAAACUCCCUUAGGAGUUGUCCCUGGGCCGUAAACUCCAUUAAGAUGCCCUUAAAGACCUUAAACCCACUCAUACUAUAUAGUUUUGGACCUAGAAUAAUUCCAUGAACAAGUUAGAAGCCUUAAAACACACUAGAACCCUUCACCAUGAGUUUAUGGCCGUAAACUCAUGGUGAAUAGUCCUUGGGCUGUAAACAACAUAUUUAGGGUUUACUCUCGGAGAGUAAACUCCAUUCCUAAGCUAUACACACCUUUAAACGCUACCUGGGACACCCGAACACUUAUCCAAAGUGUUUUCCGCUCCUUUGAGUGCGUAUACUUUUUUAAUAGGUAUAUAAUAUACUAAUUGUAUGUGAACAUAUGUUAUCAUAUGUUAAAUAGGUCUCUAAGUGUGUCCAAGUCUUUACUUGACAUCGAACGCCUAAAUGGCACCUUCGUCGGACCUACUUACACCAGGUGAGUUCAUACCCCUGAAUGAACCUUUUAAAUGUUUUUACAUGUUUUAUAGGGGGGAAUACAAGUUAAACAUGCCAAUUAUCAUAUCAAUCACAUGUGAUUGAUAACCCACAUGCACAAGAUUUUACCACACUGUAUACUGUUUUACCGAGUAGGACACUAUAAUGGUUUUCAAAAAGGUUUUUCGUUUGUUUCGAGACUCUUAUGUAUACUGAUUUAUUUAAAACUCACUUUAAACUAGUUUAUAAAGGUUUUACAAGAUUUUAAUCAAAUUUCUCUUUCACAACGUAUACUUUUACUUGUUAGUUACUGCUGCUUCGCUUAUACUUAUUUUAUACUCCUACUUGGUAACGCUUUCACUUCUUGAAGCGCUUAUACCUGUUAAUGUCUCUAUUUCAUUUAUACUUAUAGUCGCUUAUACCUGAUAGACGCUCUUACUUCACUUAUUGUCGUCUCUACUUCAUGAUACGCUUAUACUUGUUCGACACUCCUACUUCACUUGCGACCGCUCCUACUUCACUUGUUAGACACUCCUACUUCACAAGAAUCACUUCUACUUGAUACACACUCAGUCGUAGUUAGAUGUAUGUCUGUGCUUAUAUAGGUACAUAUAAGUAAUGAUUGAAAGACUUAGGAAGGCUCGUCCGCGCUAUUUCCUUUUCUUUGUUGAGAUGUGGUAUGGUGGGAUCGGAUGGUCGUCCGAAGGUCGUUUGAUUCAUUAGUUAUAUAUUAUGUAUAUGAGUAUGGACAUACAAGAAUUCUCUAGUCAGUUCAGUUAAGAGUCUCUACCUCUAGUCUACACUUACAUUAGAAACACACUACCCACUAUUUGGAAGUCUCUACCUCUAGU